UUUGUGCCCGGAGAGCCUCAGG
rnacentral:misc_RNA from 1 species